CAUAAGAUUACUUAAUAACAUUGGGAAAAUAUAAAACUGUUAAAAAAUUGUAUUGUUCAUGGUUAGAGUAAGUGAAAUUUAUUGUUAAAUUAAAUUAUGAAAAACAAAAUAUAUAAAUACUCAACAUAUUUAAAAGAAAAUCAUGAAUAUAAAAUGCAGAGAGUUGAACUAGAAAAUGAUUUACACAAAGGUUGUAUUAUGAGAAGUACAUACUUAAAUUGAUAGUAAUGAGAAUCCUUCUUCUAUUCUAGCUUUGCUAAAAUUGAACAGCCUAAUGGUUGCAAUAAAUGUAUCAGUCAUGUUAAUUAUAAUUGCGUUGAUUGCAAAUCUUCAGAAAGUAUUUCAAAUAGUUAAAGUGACUAUUACUCAAAAAUGUUCUAAAUAGAACCUUUUGAUGUUCCUUAAGAGUAUAUACAUUUCUGUAAGUUUCAUUAGUGGGUGGAGUAAUGUAAAAUAAUAAGUCCAUAUAAAUUUCUUGUAUAUUAGGUUUGGAAUAAUAUGCACAAAUAGGAUAUAUGGCAUAUACUUCGUUGAUAUAUGCAUUAGUUAUAAUGAAAUCUUAUAAAAGGGUUAAUACUGUAAAAACAUUUAUUUUCGUCAACACGACAUUUCGCCAUUUUUCAAAAAAUGACUUUUUCGUCAGCACUUAAAUUCGUCAAUUUCUGAUUUUGUAAAAAAAAAAAUUAAAAAAUGCGUCAGUCAAUUUCCGAUUAGUUUGUAAUACAUGCGGUCGCGACAAAUCGUGAUGGAGAAAGGGGGAGGACCCAUGAGAGUCACUUGCAGGAGGUGGGCUCUUUUAUAUCACAUGGCAAUUAACUAGUUGUUUGUUAUUUGGGGAUAGUAACUGGCCCUUAUUACUUUAUGCCAUUAACAAGUUCAUUGUAAUGAUAAGCGGAUUAGUGGGACUGAAUAACUGUAAACAUACCGCUUUUCUAAUGUGCAUAUAUAUCCGAUAAUCCAUUUUAAUAACACAAUUAAUUUAAAGAAAUGUCACGUGCCAGUUAAGUACACUGUAUAAUCUAUACCCCUUUGUAUCAAAACCGGAUUAACUUGAUUUCGAAACAGACGCAGUAAGUAUGGCAAUUGCGUGGAUUAUGUUGGAUUAUAAUUUCUCAUGUCAACGGUAAUCAAGUCUAAAUUUUGUUUAAACAUUGGACAUAAUUAUGCGUUAGGAACUUAAAUUCGUCAAUCGGUCUACUGACGAAAUAGACGAAAAUUAAUGUUUGACGAAUAAGAAUGGUUUCAUAGUAAUCACAUGUUCUCACCUUAUAAACCAAAUUCUUUUUUUGGAGUCGUAAGUACUUAUUUUCUUCUUGUGUUUAUAAAUCUAAUACAAAAGGUGGAACUUACAUCACUUUUGAAUGCAUUAUUAGAGUAUUAUUAAAUAUAACUCACUAGGAACACUGAAAAAAGAUUCCUUUGCAAUGUCAUUUUGUCAGAAAAAAAACGUUAACAACUUGAGUAACAAAAACAGUUCUUUUGAAAGUAUGGUGGGCCAGAGAUACAUAAACAAUUUAUAAAAGAUAAUGAAGUGUGGAAGGAAUUCCAAUACGCUCCCUUUUUAUGUUAAUGAUAUAUUUAUUUGUUUGUAAAAUGGUGUUUUACACUGUUUUAAACAUGUUUAAUUAAUCUUAUAUUACAGCAAUAUAACCAUUAAACAUUGUCUCUUAUGUGUAGGUUGUACUUAUGUUUUUUCUUAAUUUUUCUACAUGCAUGGACUGUAUUAAGCUGCUUAUUCGACCUGUUUGCCUUCACCCUCCAUCGACACUUAUUGUAAUAUGUCUGCACCACACCACGUUAGAAACAAUUGUAUUUGUGUAUAUACUUUUUACAUCACAUUAACAGUAUUUCAGUUAUCAUGGCAUGCAAGGCUUAUUGGUGAUGGAAGAAGACCCCGUUUGAUCAAGCUAUUGCAAGGUCCAAUAAAGCUCUUUUAAUGGAGACCGAACAUCCGAAGUUGUCAGAAAAUGAUUAAAAUCCAUGCAGAUAGAGACCAUGGCAAGUUUCAAAUCGCUAAGUUCAUCUUUUCAACCGACGAACCGGGCUUCAAGUAGGUUUCUAUUCCGAGAACCAUUGUUAAAGUACAGAUGCGGUGCUUUGAUAGAGAAGACAACGCUAAAAUCGACCUCCUUGUGUAUUAAAGUUGUCUUCCAUACGACAAUUAAUCUUACCGCGGUGUAAAUUGCCGGUAACGGAAUCAGCCUUACAUUGUUUCGCCUUGAAUUCGUAACAGUUAUUCUCUCCCUUAGAAUGCUAACAUUCAUUAGCUCCCUUUGAGUUCCUACGCGUCAUGAUUUUCCUUUGAAUUCUAACGCGUCAUUAUCUAUCUCUGACUUCUAAAGAGCAAUUGAAUUUCAAAUAGGGAUCAUCUCCCUUUGCAUUACAAGAGUCAUUAUCUCCAUUGUAUCACAACAUAAAUUAUAUGGUAUACAGUU